UUUAUUUCUUCAACAACCCAGCAGCUGAAUGUGGCCAAGUAUCAUUUUACUAUCUAAAUUACUAUUGAUAUUGCUAGUGUUCUAAAUAUCUGGGCUGUGAUCUGCUCAAUAUAGUUUCUGCUAGACUUCAGAAACAAAAGGAAGGGUUAAAUGUAAGUGUGCUUAUUCACGUAUUAUCAAAUGGUAUAGCUGUUUAGAAAAGUAAAGUUAAUUGUUGCGCAAAUGCUACCAUAAACCUUUGACUUUUGAAUAAAUCAAACUAAGCACAAGGCAACUAAGAUACGUGGUGACCAAGAACUGUUAUAUUGAUGUUCAGUUUAUUAUUGGUGAGGCAGUGAUGUAAAGCGCGUCGUGGUGUUUUUAAAUGGAUGAAUGUUGUGCUAACAGACGGGGGGGAAACUCCAGGCCUUGCAGUCCUGAUCCUGUAUGAUGCAGAAGAUGUCAAUCCAACCGCACAUUGAUCUCUGCAGCGUGGUCGGUGGGAGGAGAUGUGGCCGAGCAGUUGAACCAGGCUCUAUCGGUACCCGAUGCCCUUGGCUGAUGGAGGAACUGCAUCUGGAGGACGACCAUGAAUCUACCUGCCAACAGGUGGUACUGGUUUGCACUGGUUUGCAUGAACUGAACAUGGUGGACAUGAGGCAAAU